AUGGGAGAGAGAGGAAGAGAUACAGUCUCCACGCACAAGCAACAUUGCGCUGUCGAGGGAACUGCGUGUUUUCCUAUGGCGGAGAACGGCGGCGCAGGGCAGUCGCAGCACGCCGACGACCUCAAAAGUGCGCCGAACGCAGACCCUGGGUUAGAUCGGAAUGAACCACAACCAUGUAGCCAGAGCACACCCGUGGCUCAGAACAUCGAUGGGGGUCGUAAGAACGAUGAGAACGACAGCAAUCCAGCGGAAGGGGUCGAACCAACCAUCAACGUCGAAGCGGAGGAGGACGAAGAGGGAUGGACAAGACGGCAAAGGAACCGAGACGGGAGGUCAUUCAGAGUAGCAGCAGAGGGAAGCCUUGGUGCGAUAGAGCGGGCGAUGGAAGAUGCGGUCAAACUCGGAAAGAAAGUCGUGUUCGAACCAGCUGUGGGCAUGACCUUCAAUUCUGAGCAGGAGGCUUAUGAAUUUUACAACGCAUACUCGUGGGAACUAGGGUUCGGCAUCAAGCGUGGGAACAAGUAUGUCAACGGCAACAAUUACAAAUCUAAACAAGAUUUGCUGUGCUCGUGUGAGGGCAAAGACAGUAAGCAAUUCUCAAGAUCUUCCAGGACACAGUGCCGCGCCAUGGUCAGACUGCUGCGGACUCAAGACGACGGUUGGUAUUAUGCCACAGUUGUGUUGGAGCACAAUCACAGAAUGGCUGAAACAAUAGGAGAAAGGAAAAUUUGGAAGUGCCACAACCACAUUGAUUCAUCAAUCAAAGAUUUAGUAGGCCACCUGCGCCUAAACAAUGUAUCACUGACCAAGGUUUACGGCGUCAUGUCAGAUAUGCACGGCCGUUAUGAAGAUGUGCCUUUUCGGAAGAGGUCUCUCCGCAACAUGUGUGCAGCAAUCGCAUACGAGUCCAGCCAAGACGACAUCAACAAAACUCUCGCUUUGUUUUCAAGCAUGCAAGCCGAGAACAAAGGUUUUUACUUUGCGGUGAAGACUGACGAUGAAAGAAGGGUAUCUGGAUUGUAUUGGUGCCAUCAAAAAAGCAGGGCAGAUUAUACAUGUUUUGGUGAUGUUGUGACUUUUGAUACAACAUAUAAGAGCAACCUAUACGAGAUGCCUGUAGGCAUGUUCAUCGGCGUAAACAAUCAUUAUCAAUGUUGUGUUUUUGGCUGUGUUGUGCUUCGUGAAGAAACUGUAGAAUCUUUCGAGUGGGCAUACGAAACUUUCUUAUCUUCAGUGGACAACAAAGUACCCAAGACGUUCUUGACAGACCAAAGCAGGCAGAUGGAGCUUGCAAUUGCUUCAGUCAUGCCAACCACUAUCCACAGAUGGUGCAAAUGGCACGUUUUCAAAAAGAUGAAGGAAAAAGUGGGCAACGUAUACAGAAAGGGUUCUGCAUUCCGCAUAGAGUUUGACAUGCUCAUCAAUGAGAUGAUGACCGUGGAUGAGUUUGAAAAAGAGUGGGAUGUAUUAAUGUAUACAUAUGGUCUCGACAGAAACUCAUUCAUGAAGCAAGUUUAUGAGGUUAGGGUAAAGUGGGCGAAACCAUACCUGAAGGACAACUUCUGCGCAAAGAUGUGCAGCACUCAAAGAAGCGAGUGCAUGAACAAUGUUUUAAAAAGCUAUGUCGCAAGAUCAGCACCUCUCAACAGUUUCGUCAUCCAAUUCAAUAAAAUGUAUGCCGACAGAUGUGCCGAAGAGGACUACGAGCAUGCCCAUACAAACAAGGACAAGGCAGUUAUCAAAUUCAAUAUUCCAAUAGAACGCCAUGCAUCGAAUGUCUACACAAGAACCAUGUUUAGGAUCUUCUCAGAGGAGUUGUAUCAAUCUGGCCCGUACGAAGUUAUAGGACAACAGCUCGACGGAAAGAUGAUAGUUGAGCAUGUGAACGCUGAAAUCAGGAAACGCUGGUGCAAAGUCACAUAUGAAGUAGACGUAGACAGAGAGAGUGACACAUACACAUGUGAGUGUGGCAUGUUUCAACAUUCAGGAAUACUGUGCAGACACAUUCUCAAGGUGAUGCUUCACGUCAAGCUUCAAGUAAUCCCGGACAAAUACAUAAUGAAGAGGUGGACAAGGGAUGCCCGCGACAUGCUACCAGAACAUCUCAAGUGCUACCAGAAUGAUGCAAGUGUUCAAGUCUCCAAGACAUUCAGGCACAACAUCGUUUACGUAAAAGCUCUUGAGUUAGUUAAGUUGGCGAACACAUCAGUCCCCACAUUCCAGUACGCAAUCCAAAAGUUUCACGAAAUGCAAGAAGAGCUCAACAAAAUGAUUGCUACUGAGGCGUUAUCAGAUCCCCAAAAUCAGAACAAGAGCUGCGGAGGUUCAACGCAAAAUGGAGGGAGCUCAGAGAAACCUGAUGCCACAAAUGGCAUAGCACAUCCUGAUCAAGCAGGAGGGCAUAGUGAUCAAGACUUUUCUGAGGACGUGCUACCACCCGAAAGGAAAAGAUCCAAGGGCAGGCCCAAAACAAAGCGCAUCAGAACCACAUCAGAGAUUGCUACCAAGAACAGCAAAAGGAAAUGCUGCAUAUGUGGCUCGGACGGUCACAUCACAAUCUCGUGUCCAUGCACGGCGGCAGGUGGAGCCGAUCAUGAAGGAACGAAUGCUCAAGAAACUCAUGCAUCACAAAACAUGGAGGCAGGCGAGAGUAUGUUCAGUCCGGUUGGGAGCAACGUUACUUCAGAAAACCCAGAUGCAGAGCAAAGCAUCACAAAGCCAGCAAAUCAGAGGAACAAUCAGCAAAAACCACCGUCUGCCACAAGGAGAUGCAAGAACUGUGGGCUACCUGGGCACUACGUCAGUACGUGUCCAACAUACGAAGGGCCCAAGAAGCCACCAAAAGAGGUCAGAUGCACGACAUGCACGCUAUGGGGCCACUAUAGCACCACCUGCGGAGGCGACACAACCUACAAGCGCAAGCAUGCAUCUUAG
rnacentral:rRNA from 1 species